rnacentral:rRNA from 1 species
CGGGAAAAGCUCAAAUUUAAAAUCUGGCGGUCUCUGGCCGUCCGAGUUGUAAGUUAGAGAAGUGUUACCCGCGCUGGACCGUGUACAAGUCUCCUGGAACGGAGCGUCAUAGAGGGUGAGAAUCCCGUC